rnacentral:rRNA from 1 species
GCGGGGUGACGGCCCACCGUGCUUUCGACGGGUAGCCGGGUUGAGAGACCGACCGGCCACAUUGGGACUGAGAUACGGCCCAGACUCCUACGGGAGGCAGCAGUGGGGAAUUUUGCGCAAUGGGGGCAACCCUGACGCAGCAACGCCGCGUGCGGGACGAAGGCCUUCGGGUCGUAAACCGCUUUCAGCAGGGAAGACAGCGACGGUACCUGCAGAAGAAGCCCCGGCUAACUAC